CGCUUCGAUGAAAAAGGCGUCAGCAUUAUUGAUUGUGCUGGCGAACGCACCCACAGGGGGGCAUUCCGACAUCAGUUUUUCCCCGAAGACAAAUGGACACGGAUGACGAAUCAUCGUUCAUUUUUCCUCGGAUUCUUUCACGUUUGAAAUUUUUUUGAGUUGAUUUCAGUUUUAUUUGUUCCCGCCAGCAUAUUACAGGUAUUAAACACACGGGGGCUGGGGCAGUUGCUCGGUGAUGAAA